rnacentral:pre_miRNA from 3 species
AUAUGAAUCACUUGGGGCUCUUGUUAAAACAAAGAUUCUAAUUUGAUAGAUCUGCAGAGAGGCCUAAGGUUCUGCAUUUCUAACAAGCUCCCAGGUGAUGCCAGU